GGGCGGCAGCUACACAUGCAGUCGAGCGGUAGCACAGAGAGCUUGCUCUCGGGUGACGAGCGGCGGACGGGUGAGUAAUGUCUGGGAAACUGCCUGAUGGAGGGGGAUAACUACUGGAAACGGUAGCUAAUACCGCAUAAUGUCGCAAGACCAAAGUGGGGGACCUUCGGGCCUCAUGCCAUCAGAUGUGCCCAGAUGGGAUUAGCUAGUAGGUGGGGUAACGGCUCACCUAGGCGACGAUCCCUAGCUGGUCUGAGAGGAUGACCAGCCACACUGGAACUGAGACACGGUCCAGACUCCUACGGGAGGCAGCAGUGGGGAAUAUUGCACAAUGGGCGCAAGCCUGAUGCAGCCAUGCCGCGUGUGUGAAGAAGGCCUUCGGGUUGUAAAGCACUUUCAGCGGGGAGGAAGGCGUUAAGGUUAAUAACCUUGGCGAUUGACGUUACCCGCAGAAGAAGCACCGGCUAACUCCGUGCCAGCAGCCGCGGUAAUACGGAGGGUGCAAGCGUUAAUCGGAAUUACUGGGCGUAAAGCGCACGCAGGCGGUCUGUCAAGUCGGAUGUGAAAUCCCCGGGCUCAACCUGGGAACUGCAUUCGAAACUGGCAGGCUAGAGUCUUGUAGAGGGGGGUAGAAUUCCAGGUGUAGCGGUGAAAUGCGUAGAGAUCUGGAGGAAUACCGGUGGCGAAGGCGGCCCCCUGGACAAAGACUGACGCUCAGGUGCGAAAGCGUGGGGAGCAAACAGGAUUAGAUACCCUGGUAGUCCACGCCGUAAACGAUGUCGAUUUGGAGGUUGUGCCCUUGAGGCGUGGCUUCCGGAGCUAACGCGUUAAAUCGACCGCCUGGGGAGUACGGCCGCAAGGUUAAAACUCAAAUGAAUUGACGGGGGCCCGCACAAGCGGUGGAGCAUGUGGUUUAAUUCGAUGCAACGCGAAGAACCUUACCUGGUCUUGACAUCCACAGAACUUUCCAGAGAUGGAUUGGUGCCUUCGGGAACUGUGAGACAGGUGCUGCAUGGCUGUCGUCAGCUCGUGUUGUGAAAUGUUGGGUUAAGUCCCGCAACGAGCGCAACCCUUAUCCUUUGUUGCCAGCGGUCCGGCCGGGAACUCAAAGGAGACUGCCAGUGAUAAACUGGAGGAAGGUGGGGAUGACGUCAAGUCAUCAUGGCCCUUACGACCAGGGCUACACACGUGCUACAAUGGCAUAUACAAAGAGAAGCGACCUCGCGAGAGCAAGCGGACCUCAUAAAGUAUGUCGUAGUCCGGAUUGGAGUCUGCAACUCGACUCCAUGAAGUCGGAAUCGCUAGUAAUCGUAGAUCAGAAUGCUACGGUGAAUACGUUCCCGGGCCUUGUACACACCGCCCGUCACACCAUGGGAGUGGGUUGCAAAAGAAGUAGGUAGCUUAACCUUCGGAGGGCGCUACCACUUGAUC
rnacentral:rRNA from 1 species